rnacentral:tRNA from 2 species
GCCGCGGUAGCUCAUGUAGUAGAGCGCAUCUCUGAAAAAGAUGAGGUAGUCAGUGCAACUCUGACCCGCGGCACAA